ensembl:lncRNA
GAGAGAGAUGUAGAGGGAGAGAGAUAUGAAGAGGGAGAGAGAUGUAGAGAGGGAGAGAUAUGUAGAGGGAGAGAGAUGUAGAGAGGGAGAGAGAUGUAGAGAGGGAGAGAGAUGUAGAGAGGGAGAGAUGAUGUAGAGAGAGAGAUAUGUAGAGGGAGAGAGAUGUAGAGAGGGAGAGAGAUGUAGAGAGGGAGAGAGAUGUAAGAGAGAGAUGAUGUAGAGAGAGAGAGAUGUAGAGGGAGAGAGAUGUAGAGGGAGAGAGAUGUAGAGAGGGAGAGAGAUGUAGAGAGAGAUGUAGAGAGGGAGAGGAGGAGACAAUCCAGAUGAAGACUGAGUUAGAGAGAAUCCCAAUUUAUUUAGUCUCUAACUCCCC